GAUGAACGCUGGCGGCGUGCCUAAUACAUGCAAGUCGAGCGAACGGACGAGAAGCUUGCUUCUCUGAUGUUAGCGGCGGACGGGUGAGUAACACGUGGAUAACCUACCUCUAAGACUGGGAUAACUUCGGGAAACCGGAGCUACUACCGGAUAAUAUUUUGAACCGCAUGGUUCAAAAGUGAAAGACGGUCUUGCUGUCACUUAUAGAUGGAUCCGCGCUGCAUUAGCUAGUUGGUAAGGUAACGGCUUACCAAGGCGACGAUGCAUAGCCGACCUGAGAGGAUGAUCGGCCACACUGGAACUGAGACACGGUCCAGACUCCUACGGGAGGCAGCAGUAGGGAAUCUUCCGCAAUGGGCGAAAGCCUGACGGAGCAACGCCGCGUGAGUGAUGAAGGUCUUCGGAUCGUAAAACUCUGUUAUUAGGGAAGAACAUAUGUGUAAGUAACUGUGCACAUCUUGACGGUACCUAAUCAGAAAGCCACGGCUAACUACGUG
rnacentral:rRNA from 1 species